GCAUAUCAAUAAGCGGAGGAAAAGAAACUAACAAGGAUUCCCCUAGUAGCGGCGAGCGAAGCGGGAAAAGCUCAAAUUUGUAAUCUGGCGUCUACGACGUCCGAGUUGUAAUCUCGAGAAGUGUUUUCCGUGAUAGACCGCAUACAAGUCUCUUGGAACAGAGCGUCAUAGUGGUGAGAACCCAGUACACGAUGCGGAUGCCUAUUACUUUGUGAUACACUUUCGAAGAGUCGAGUUGUUUGGGAAU
rnacentral:rRNA from 1 species